AGGCUCCCAUGAUGUUUUUAGCACUGGGCUCCGAUCAUCCUUGAGGACACAGUGCCCCUCCAGGAUCUUUGACACCUGGAGGGUCUGAGGGGCUC
rnacentral:snoRNA from 1 species